UGUGUAUGCGUGAGCAGAGAAGCAUCGUGCGUCUCGGGGAAGAGCGCCGUGGACUCGGCUUCGUAGCGAUCUAAAUAUUUGGAUUAAACCGUCAUUUGGGUUAAAUGUGAUUUCAUUGUCUUUAAGACAAGUCAGUUCAUUGUAAUGCAGUGUCUAAAAGGACAUUUAAUGUGCAAACUGCAGUGAAUGCGUUUGGAUCAUGUGUGUGUGGACUGAGCUACCUCGUGGUGUAUGCUAAGAAGUACAUGUGGCUGUAAUAACGAGAGAGAGAGUGUGGCAUAGCUGAAGGAACAGCUGAAGGAUUUCUGUCGCCAGUGGUUGAUGGCGGACCAGUGGGAGGCGGAACAGAUCAUUAAACUGGUGGUACUGGCGAAAUUCAUCACAAAGCCAUUCGGAUGGCAGAGGAUCACUUGGCGGCAGUCCUGUUCCAGGAAAACCAGCCUAUGAAAUGAGUGUCAUCCCGAAUGGAUACCAUCAUUACGGGCAUGCAGAAAUCAAAGAAAUGUACUCUGGGGGGUUUAAUGGGAGGACAAAGAGACAGCAAGGUCUCACAGGAAACAACAAUGCACCUCCGACACCAUCGGGUCUAGCUGGCCAGAGAUUAGAGUUAGAUGAAGCUGCACCACCAGAUGAAGCUUCACAGAGGUCACAGAUGAAUGAAGCUGCACCAAAGGACAACACUGAAGAACAGCAGGAAUUUGUAGCCGUAGCCGUUCCAAAAUUAACCACUUGUUGGAGGCGAACAGGAUACUGAAGGAAGAGUUCUCCCAAAAGAAGAUGGAUGAGCAUUUUUUGAAAGAUGAUGUGAAGGUCAAGUACUACACUGGGCUUCCAUGUUUUGCUGUUAUGAUGGGUGUCGCAGCUUCUUCCUUGCCUACUACAGACAGGCCGAAAGCUUUCACCUUUUCAGAUGCUUUUUUUAACUCUGAUGUGCCUGAGGCUGAAUCUGCCAAUCCAGCACAUUGCACACCUCUACUGAAAAGAUUGAAAGACUGUGUCCACCAUGUUCAGAGACAUCAUAGGUACAAUGUUUACAUACCUUAGCCCUUUAGUGCACAGGCCAGAGACAUUGCUUGCUAGGCAGCAUGCCACAUCAGUUUAUGGAGGCUUUAGGCAAUCUUGUUGCCGUUAUUGUGGACUGCUUUGAAAUUAACACUGAGAGAGCAUCAAAUCUGAAAGCUAGAGCAUAGACAUUUACCCACUACAAACACAAGCACACCUUAAAGUAUCUCACUGGCAUUACACCACAGGGAGCUAUCUCUUUCAUUUCCAAAGAGUGGGGAGGUUAUGUCAGUGACAAGCAUAUGACUGAGAAUAGUGGCCUUCUUAAUAAACUAUUGCCUGGAGACUUGGUGUUGGCGGAUCGUGGAUUUGACAUCAGGGACAGUGUCAGACUAAUGUGGGCAGUAGUGAAAAUCCCUGCAUUCACAAGAGGAUGCUGCCAGCUGGAUGCAAAAGAUCCACCAGAUAGGAGGAGACACACCAGAUAGGUCACCUCAGGGUCCAUGUGGAGAGGGUGAUUGGAUGUGUACUCACCAAGUACACCAUACUAAGUGAGACUGUACCAGUGAGCAUGGUACUCCCAUAUGAAGGCAAGGACAUGAUAUUCCUUGACAAGAUUGUGCCUGUGUGCUAUGCCUUGACUAAAAUGUGCCCCAGUGUUGUUAUGAAAGUGUAAAUCAUGACAUAAAGAAUGUUAACUAAAUAUGAACUGCAUAUCCUGCAUUAACAGCAUUAUUCAUAUGUUGCAUACCACAUGUGAAAAAGUAUUUCAAUUCUGAAUCUCUUUAUUUGUAUAACAUAGUAUGCUGAAGUAAAUGUGUACAGUUCACAGUAACAUAAAUACAACAGUUAAAAGAGGUAAAAUGGCAGUGUAAACUUCAAGUACUAACAACAGAUAAAAAAAGGCAAAUAAGUAAACAAGUUAAUACAAAAGGUAAAUUGAAAACCUAUUGCACUGAAAGGUUCACAGUAUCAAUGUAGUGCAAAUACAAUAGGUAUAAGAAGUAAUGUGGUAGUGUAACCUUCAAGUACCAACAACUGAGAUAAAAAAGGCAAUAAAUAAGUAAACAAGUUAAAUACAAAAGGCAAAAUGAAAACCUAUUGUAUUGAAACAACAUGUAAAUUUAAAUAAAAAACAGCAAAUUAAAGACAAAACUAUUGAACAAAAAAGUGUCUGUUCAGCAAUCAAAAAGGAAUAUAUAGAUACAAACACACAGUUGUGCUCCACUGUUUUAGUUUAUCUGUGUGCAUGUGGCACAGAGCCAGGGCACACUUGCUGAAGGUGCCUGACUGAGUCCCACACAGCUGAGGUGGAACCACAGUUUUCGUUGUCAGAAGCCACCAUGUCAUCCUGGUCUUCAGGCCCUCUGCAAAGGCACCACAGUUCGUUUAUGUUUUCUAGUGCCUGUUUUCUUGGCCUUCUUGUUUGAGAUGGCUGUAACCCGGUUAAAGCAUGUGGCGCUGUGUAAGCUGCUCGGGUGUAGUAACAAGCCACAAGCAUGGAUAGUGAAACUUUGUGGAAGAACUCCUGUGCCUUCAUCAGAAGUGUUGUCCAGAAGUCCACAUCCAGUAAGAUCUGAACCACAGCACAGUCUUUCUGCAUCCACACUACAAAGUCACAAAACUCUGACCCAGUCACAAAAAUCUGCGUUUGUUCUUGACUGUAGUACUGGUGUGUCCGCUUCAAGUUUAACUUCCCAUCAGUUAGCUGGAGACAAAAGUUGCUGUCAUCUGCACAGUCCUGCAGGAUGGAGUUGUUGUGGUACUUAUAUGUGCAUUUGAAUUCCAGACAGCCUUUCCCGCAUUUGCAGUGAAUAAGCCCAUCAGGUGAUGUCCCUACUUCAGGAAAUGAGGAAUAUAUUGUAAACUGUAGCAACGAGAGGUCACAGAUGGGCUGAGCACAGACACCCAGAGGCGGAGAUCGGCAGGCUCAGGCAGUGGUUGCUCAUCAGCGCUGAUGUCUAUGUCUAGAGGAAAAAAUAGAGCACACAUUAGUAAGGCCAUAAGGUGCGCCUACCUUUUUCCUGAGAGCGGCUGCUGGCUCCUUUUAUACCUCCCUGUCGCCCCUGUGAGGGUAGAUUAGCACUGCGCCAAUGAUUGGGCGCCAGCCGUGCUGAAUUUCUGCACACUCUGGCUGUCCAAAAGAAAAAGGCAGUCGUGCGAGGAGCGUUGUAUUUCUUCUGUUCGCAGGCUGCCAGCCCCCUAUGGUCUGGCAACACUGGUGGACGCAAUGGCAUGGAUAUCGGAAGCUGUUAUUUUUCUUGCUCUGGAUGUCUACCAGGCAGGUGAUUGAUGUUGCUAUCUCAUCUGAGCUUCCAUCGCAGCCACCUGUGUCUAUGUUAUGACUACCACAUGUGUGAGGACCUCACACAUUCUUUCCUGGGUUUACGAAGGUGUAGUAGGGACUUUUGCACUACACAUGGCUAACAGGGUUCUGGGUCAUUCCAGAAAGACAAACAGCCUUGCUGUGAGUGUGCAAAAUCUGAAGUAGGGGUGACAGGUCCGAAAGUGUGGGCUUGUGCCCACAUGGACUCGUGCAGUCAUCAUAAGUCUGUAUCCCUGACAUUCUUCUCUCUCCACUGAUCUCUCCACUUGUCAAGCGCCUUCUUCUUAGCUGUGCCAGAGGAGAAGUCGAUCUUGUAGCCCACCUCUGCUUUGACCUUGUCCAAACCAGUGGUCAUCAUUCCAGGCUCAGUGCAAUUGUAUAUGAUCAACUGGUUGAUAACCAUUAGGAGCCAGACACUUGUGUAGCUUAGCAAAAAGAAGAAUAAACAAAACAGUGUUUAAGCAUAACGUUAGUUAGCAGCAAAAACUUAUACAGACAACUAAUAAACCUGAAUUCCAAUCACAAUAUAUAAUACUAAAAUUGCAGUCACAAUAGAAAAAAAAGCAGAAGGCAGUAAGAGUGAUAGUGUUUCU